rnacentral:rRNA from 1 species
UGACGAACGCUGGCGGCGUGCCUAAUACAUGCAAGUAGAACGCUGAAGAGAGGAGCUUGCUCUUCUUGGAUGAGUUGCGAACGGGUGAGUAACGCGUAGGUAACCUGCCUUGUAGCGGGGGAUAACUAUUGGAAACGAUAGCUAAUACCGCAUAACAAUGGAUGACACAUGUCAUUUAUUUGAAAGGGGCAAUUGCUCCACUACAAGAUGGACCUGCGUUGUAUUAGCUAGUAGGUGAGGUAACGGCUCACCUAGGCGACGAUACAUAGCCGACCUGAGAGGGUGAUCGGCCACACUGGGACUGAGACACGGCCCAGACUCCUACGGGAGGCAGCAGUAGGGAAUCUUCGGCAAUGGGGGCAACCCUGACCGAGCAACGCCGCGUGAGUGAAGAAGGUUUUCGGAUCGUAAAGCUCUGUUGUAAGUCAAGAACGAGUGUGAGAGUGGAAAGUUCACACUGUGACGGUAGCUUACCAGAAAGGGACGGCUAACUACGUGCCAGCAGCCGCGGUAAUACGUAGGUCCCGAGCGUUGUCCGGAUUUAUUGGGCGUAAAGCGAGCGCAGGCGGUUUGAUAAGUCUGAAGUUAAAGGCUGUGGCUCAACCAUAGUUCGCUUUGGAAACUGUCAAACUUGAGUGCAGAAGGGGAGAGUGGAAUUCCAUGUGUAGCGGUGAAAUGCGUAGAUAUAUGGAGGAACACCGGUGGCGAAAGCGGCUCUCUGGUCUGUAACUGACGCUGAGGCUCGAAAGCGUGGGGAGCGAACAGGAUUAGAUACCCUGGUAGUCCACGCCGUAAACGAUGAGUGCUAGGUGUUGGAUCCUUUCCGGGAUUCAGUGCCGCAGCUAACGCAUUAAGCACUCCGCCUGGGGAGUACGACCGCAAGGUUGAAACUCAAAGGAAUUGACGGGGGCCCGCACAAGCGGUGGAGCAUGUGGUUUAAUUCGAAGCAACGCGAAGAACCUUACCAGGUCUUGACAUCCCGAUGCUAUUUCUAGAGAUAGAAAGUUACUUCGGUACAUCGGUGACAGGUGGUGCAUGGUUGUCGUCAGCUCGUGUCGUGAGAUGUUGGGUUAAGUCCCGCAACGAGCGCAACCCCUAUUGUUAGUUGCCAUCAUUCAGUUGGGCACUCUAGCGAGACUGCCGGUAAUAAACCGGAGGAAGGUGGGGAUGACGUCAAAUCAUCAUGCCCCUUAUGACCUGGGCUACACACGUGCUACAAUGGUUGGUACAACGAGUUGCGAGUCGGUGACGGCAAGCUAAUCUCUUAAAGCCAAUCUCAGUUCGGAUUGUAGGCUGCAACUCGCCUACAUGAAGUCGGAAUCGCUAGUAAUCGCGGAUCAGCACGCCGCGGUGAAUACGUUCCCGGGCCUUGUACACACCGCCCGUCACACCACGAGAGUUUGUAACACCCGAAGUCGGUGAGGUAACCUUUUGGAGCCAGCCGCCUAAGGUGGGAUA